AGCUCCAAUAGCGUAUAUUAAAGUUGUUGCAGUUAAAAAGCUCGUAGUUGGAUUUCUGGCAGGAGGGACCGGUCACGCACUCUGUGUGUGAACUUGGCUCCCUCUGGCCAUCCUUGGGGAGAUCGUGUUUGGCAUUAAGUUGUCGGGCAUGGGAUACCCAUCGUUUACUGUGAAAAAAUUAGAGUGUUUAAAGCAGGCUUAUGCCGUUGAAUAUAUUAGCAUGGAAUAAUAAGAUAGGACUUUGGAACUAUUUUGUUGGUUUGCGUUACAAAGUAAUGAUUAAUAGGGACAGUUGGGGGUAUUCGUAUUUCGUUGUCAGAGGUGAAAUUCUUGGAUUUCCGAAAGACGAACUACUGCGAAAGCAUUUACCAAGGAUGUUUUCAUUA
rnacentral:rRNA from 1 species